GGUGAAGUAGGUGAACAAGCUGGAAAGCUUGGCGAUACAGGGUGAUAGCCCCGUAACCGACGCUUCAUCGAGCGUGAAAUCGAGUAGGGCGGGACACGUGAUAUCCUGUCUGAAUAUGGGGGGACCAUCCUCCAAGGCUAAAUACUCCUGACUGACCGAUAGUGAACCAGUACCGUGAGGGAAAGGCGAAAAGAACCCCUGUGAGGGGAGUGAAAUAGAACCUGAAACCGUGUACGUACAAGCAGUAGGAGCACCUUCGUGGUGUGACUGCGUACCUUUUGUAUAAUGGGUCAGCGACUUAUAUUCAGUGGCAAGGUUAACCGUAUAGGGGAGCCGUAGCGAAAGCGAGUCUUAACUGGGCGCUCAGUCUCUGGAUAUAGACCCGAAACCGGGUGAUCUAGCCAUGGGCAGGUUGAAGGUUGAGUAACAUCAACUGGAGGACCGAACCGACUAAUGUUGAAAAAUUAGCGGAUGACUUGUGGCUAGGGGUGAAAGGCCAAUCAAACUCGGAGAUAGCUGGUUCUCCCCGAAAGCUAUUUAGGUAGCGCCUCGGACGAAUACUACUGGGGGUAGAGCACUGUUAAGGCUAGGGGGUCAUCCCGACUUACCAACCCUUUGCAAACUCCGAAUACCAGUAAGUACUAUCCGGGAGACACACGGCGGGUGCUAACGUCCGUCGUGGAGAGGGAAACAACCCAGACCGCCAGCUAAGGUCCCAAAGUAUUGCUAAGUGGGAAACGAUGUGGGAAGGCUCAGACAGCUAGGAUGUUGGCUUAGAAGCAGCCAUCAUUUAAAGAAAGCGUAAUAGCUCACUAGUCGAGUCGGCCUGCGCGGAAGAUGUAACGGGGCUAAGCAAUACACCGAAGCUGCGGCAAUAUCUUUUAGAUAUUGGGUAGGGGAGCGUUCUGUAAGCCGUUGAAGGUGAAUCGUAAGGUUUGCUGGAGGUAUCAGAAGUGCGAAUGCUGACAUGAGUAACGACAAAGGGGGUGAAAAACCUCCUCGCCGGAAGACCAAGGGUUCCUGUCCAACGUUAAUCGGGGCAGGGUGAGUCGACCCCUAAGGUGAGGCCGAAAGGCGUAAUCGAUGGGAAACGGGUUAAUAUUCCCGUACUUCUGACUAUUGCGAUGGGGGGACGGAGAAGGCUAGGUGGGCCAGGCGACGGUUGUCCUGGUUCAAGUGCGUAGGCUUGAGAGUUAGGUAAAUCCGGCUCUCUCUAAGGCUGAGACACGACGUCGAGCUGCUACGGCAGUGAAGUCAUUGAUGCCAUGCUUCCAGGAAAAGCCUCUAAGCUUCAGAUAGUCAGGAAUCGUACCCCAAACCGACACAGGUGGUCGGGUAGAGAAUACCAAGGCGCUUGAGAGAACUCGGGUGAAGGAACUAGGCAAAAUGGUACCGUAACUUCGGGAGAAGGUACGCUCUUGAUGGUGAAGUCCCUCGCGGAUGGAGCUGACGAGAGUCGCAGAUACCAGGUGGCUGCAACUGUUUAUUAAAAACACAGCACUGUGCAAAAUCGCAAGAUGACGUAUACGGUGUGACGCCUGCCCGGUGCCGGAAGGUUAAUUGAUGGGGUUAGCGCAAGCGAAGCUCUUGAUCGAAGCCCCGGUAAACGGCGGCCGUAACUAUAACGGUCCUAAGGUAGCGAAAUUCCUUGUCGGGUAAGUUCCGACCUGCACGAAUGGCGUAAUGAUGGCCACGCUGUCUCCACCCGAGACUCAGUGAAAUUGAAAUCGCUGUGAAGAUGCAGUGUACCCGCGGCUAGACGGAAAGACCCCGUGAACCUUUACUACAGCUUGGCACUGAACAUUGAACCUACAUGUGUAGGAUAGGUGGGAGGCUUUGAAGACGUGACGCCAGUUGCGUUGGAGCCGUCCUUGAAAUACCACCCUUGUAUGUUUGAUGUUCUAACUUAGACCCAUUAUCUGGGUUGAGGACAGUGCCUGGUGGGUAGUUUGACUGGGGCGGUCUCCUCCCAAAGAGUAACGGAGGAGCACGAAGGUGGGCUAAUCACGGUUGGACAUCGUGAGGUUAGUGCAAUGGCAUAAGCCCGCUUAACUGCGAGAAUGACGGUUCGAGCAGGUGCGAAAGCAGGUCAUAGUGAUCCGGUGGUUCUGUAUGGAAGGGCCAUCGCUCAACGGAUAAAAGGUACUCCGGGGAUAACAGGCUGAUACCGCCCAAGAGUUCAUAUCGACGGCGGUGUUUGGCACCUCGAUGUCGGCUCAUCACAUCCUGGGGCUGAAGUCGGUCCCAAGGGUAUGGCUGUUCGCCAUUUAAAGUGGUACGCGAGCUGGGUUUAGAACGUCGUGAGACAGUUCGGUCCCUAUCUGCCGUGGGCGUUGGAAGAUUGAAGGGGGCUGCUCCUAGUACGAGAGGACCGGAGUGGACGAACCUCUGGUGUUCGGGUUGUGUCGCCAGACGCAUUGCCCGGUAGCUAAGUUCGGAAUUGAUAAGCGCUGAAAGCAUCUAAGCGCGAAGCGAGCCCUGAGAUGAGUCUUCCCUGACAGUUUAACUGUCCUAAAGGGUUGUUCGAGACUAGAACGUUGAUAGGCAGGGUGUGUAAGCGUUGUGAGGCGUUGAGCUAACCUGUACUAAUUGCCCGUGAGGCUUAACCA
rnacentral:rRNA from 1 species